rnacentral:rRNA from 1 species
UUCGUAGGCGGUGUGGCAAGUUGGGAGUGAAAUCUCUGGGCUUAACUCAGAGGCUGCUUCCAAAACUGCUGUGCUGGAGUGUGGGAGAGGCGCGUGGAAUUGCAGGUGUAGCGGUGAAAUGCGUAGAUAUCUGCAGGAACACCCGUGGCGAAAGCGGCGCGCUGGACCACUACUGACGCUGAGGAACGAAAGCUAGGGGAGCAAACAGGAUUAGAUACCCUGGUAGUCCUAGCCCUAAACGAUCAGGACUUGGGGUGCCGCCCGUUCGGGCGUCGUCCUGGAGCUAACGCGUUAAGUCCUGCACCUGGGGAGUACGGUCGCAAGACUGAA